GGACUAGACAGAGUACUCAGCCAGAAUCCCUAUCUUUUGAAUGAACUCUUUUAUUCUUUAGUUUUUUGAACUUAGCCUACUCUCUAAUAAUAGCAGCAUUUCUAAUUUUCAGACAUUCUUUUAGCUAUUCUCUUUGCUCCUUCUGAGACUCUAAAAAGGCAAUAACUGCUUUUAUUUAUUUAUUUAUUUAUUUUUAAAAUGGGUUGUCUAUAAAUACACCUGGUAAUAUGACUCACCAACCACCAAGCCAUCUCACAUAAAGAGGCAGAAUUGUUUUGGGGCCACAGAAAUCUGGUUUUGAGGGGGUGCUGUCUGGUUUCACAGCCUUGACUCCCAUCUCUCUUCAUUGGAGUCUUUCAAGGAUGUCUCUGAAUGGCUUUGCACAACACAGUGAGAUGUGGUUUUGUGCAGAACUUAGGGCAAGGGGGAAAAAAAGAAAAGAGAAAUAAAGCUUCCCUCUAGUAAAUUGGCAGAAAAACAUUUCUAAAGGUUACACACCACCCACACAUUCCUUUCAAAUGAUCAAAGUCUUACAAGAGGUCACGGAAGGAGAAAACAGGAGAGAGGGAGCCUGAAAUACUUUUUUUAAAGUGCUCUGUAUUGCAAUUCUUGCUGAAUAAGGAACAAAUUAGGACUCUUGUUAAUCUUUUGGAAAAUUAUUGGAUUGAAAGAAACAAACAUUAAAUUGAAUCGGUAAACUGAUAUCUCUAAAAUGAACAAUGCCUAUCUCUUUCUACAUCUCAUUCCAAAUUCAACACUGUUUUUGUCCAUCGCAUUUUUAAGUAUUUAAUUUAGUUAUUUAUUUAUUUUUAGUUUUAAUUUUCAUAGUCCUCUAUACUUCCUGGUUUCAGCAGAAUUCACUAAACUAGUCGUCUUGAUAUGCCAGUCCAUCCCCACAUGGGAAAUACUUAACAUUUAAAAGAAAUCUGUCUGGACGUGAUUUUCUUACCUAUCGGUAGUUUCUAAACUCACACCUUGUCUUUGAAAUCGGCCUUAGUUUUGUAGGUAUCUUGGGCCAUUCUUUAUAGCUUGGUUGUGGCUCUCCACUCAUUUUCAUCAGGUAGAGUGAAAUGGUCCCUUGUCUAUAUUUUCAUAGAAAUAUACACCUCGGUUAGAACUUAUAAGUUUUGUUUGCUGGCCUCAUCCUGAUAGUGGAAUCUGCUCAAGGGAAAAUACUGUUUUCUACGCAUUUGCAUCCCUAACUCCUAGCAAACUGUCUGACAGUUACAGGUUCUGUUAGCUGCUUUCUCCAUUGACUUCUGUCUAAGCAAGCUGCCCCUAACUCCAGGUAUCUUAUUUGACGACUGCAGUACCUUUCCUUGACCUCUGGCUUUAAGAUGGACCUUGGUUUUGAAAAGCAUUUUACUUAUGCCUUCUUCUGUCCUGAAGUCUAGAAUAAACUUAAGGCCAGUACUUGCUUUCUGGAGCGUGGUCUGGUCAAAGUCCCCAUGGCUGCUGUAAUCAAUCUGAGAAAUCUGGAAGAUCAUGAAUGCCUAUGUAGAUCUCUUAAUUUGACAACUCUCAACACAGCUCAAGUUGGAUUUACUGAGUCCCCACUUUUUUUUUUCCCUUAUUUUAUUUGCUGUCCUCAUCCCUGCCGGAUGCUGAGUAAUCCCCGCCUCAGGAAUUUGUGGAUGUUGAGAUGAUGGACACAUAGGUACCAUGGAUAUGAAGUGAAGUGUACAUAGUAAAUAGAAGAGGGAGUCUAAAAGAAGAAAGUCUAUAAAUUUAGUCAAGAGGUAAACAACAACCAAGGAGAGAGAGUGGACUGGGCCCUUAUAAUAGCUAUUGAGAGAUGACAACGUGCUAUCAGCCCUUGAUCGCUCUUGGCACCUCCUCAGGCCAUGGCGUCCACUCUGGCCGAGCUUCCCGAAGCUCGGCACUGCACUGUGGGAGCCCCUCUCUGGGCUGGCCAAGGCCAGAGCCGGCUCCCUCUGCUUGCAGGGAGGUGUGGAGGGAGAGGCGCAGGCGGAACCCGGCUGCGCGGCGGUCGCAGGCCAGCUCGAGUUCCGGGUGGGCACGGGCUCAGUGGCCCUGCACUUAGAGUGGCAGGCCGGCGCUGCUGGUCCGUGCAGUGAGAGGCUUAGCACCUGGUUCAGCAACUACGGAGGGUGCAGCGGGCCCCCAGCAGUGCCGGCCCAUGGGUGCCACGCUCGAAUUCUCGCUGGGCCUCAGCUGCCUCCCCGCGGGGCAGGGCUCCAGACCUGCAGCCCGCCAUGCCCAAGCCUCCCCCGCCCCGUCGUGGGCUCCCACACGGCCCUACCCUCCCCAACGGGCAUCUCCCCCUGCUCCGCGGGGCCAGUCCCAUCCACCGCCCAAGGGCUGACGAGUGCGGGCGCGUGGCGCCGGACUGGUGAGCAGCUCCGCCUGCGGCCCCAGCGCAGGAUCCACUAGGGGAAGCCAGCUGGGCUCCUGAGUGGGGUGGGGACUUGGAGAACUUUUAUGUCUAGCUGGAGGAUUGUAUAUGUGCCAAUCAGCACUCUGCAUCUAGCUCGGAGUUUGUGGAUGCACCAAUCAGCACUCUGUAUCUAGCUAAUCUGGUGGGGACUCCGAGAACUUUUAUGUCUAGCUAAAGGAUUGUAACCGCACCAAUCUGUGCUCUGUGUCUAGUUUAUCUGGUGGGGACUUGGAGAACUUCUAUGUCUAGCUGGAGGGUUGUAAAUGCACAAAUCAGCACCCUGUGUCUAGCUCAAGGUUUGUAAAGGCACCAAUCAGUGCUCUGUGUCUAGCUAAUCUAGUGCGGACUUGGAGAAAUUUGUGUGUAGCUAAGGGAUUGUAAAUGCACCAAUCAGCACUCUGUGUCUAGCUCAAGGUUUGUGAAUGCACCAAUCAGCCCCUUGUCAAAACGGACCAAUCAGCUCUCUGUAAAACAGACCAAUCAGCAGAAUGUGGGUGGGGUCAGAUAAGUGAAUAAAAGCAGGCUGCCCGAGUCAGCGGCAGUAACGAUCUCUGCUUGGUGGAAGCUUUGUUCUCUUGCUCUUCGCGAUAAAUCUUGCUGCUGCUCACUCUUUGGGUGCGCACUGCCUUUGUGAGCUGUAACACUCACCACGAAGGUCUGCAGUUUCACUCCUGAAGCCAGCGAGACCACGAAGCCACCAGAAGGAAGAAACUCUGGACACAUCUGAACAUCUGAAGGAACAAACUCUGGACACACCAUCUUUAAGAACUGUAACACUGACCGCGAGGGUCCACGGCUUCAUUCUUGAAGUCAGCGAGACCAAGAACCCACCAAUUCCGGACACACGAUGAAGUGGGUUAGGGAAGAAUUUGGAGCAAGGGCUAGGGAUUUGUGAAAUGUGAACUCCCCUCCAGCACCAGGUGAUGAUUGGCACAUGUGGGUCCUCUAAAUGUGGCUGCCCAAAUAUGGGGCAGGCAGGGAGGUUGGGGAUCUAAAAGCUGUCAAGUGUCAAACAUUAAAAAGAGGUCACUCCCUUUAUGCCAACACAGAUUAUGCAUUUUAAUAAACUAAGGCAACUCUUUUGCAUUUUUAUAUUUGAGAACCACUGGUUUGUGGGCCCUUCUGAUGGAGGUGAGCCUCUGGUUGUCUUAAUUCAUGUGCUAGAAGAGGCUUUCAUCUCCUGAUUCCAAACGUGGUCCACACCACAAUUGUUUGGGUCACCUAAAGGCACUCCAGAAGGGCAGUCUGCUCUGACUUCUCACACUCUCAGGAUUGUGCUGAGCCUCUGCAGUGAGUCUGGGCAUUAGGGACAGCAAGGACUUUACAUCAGCUCUGCCGAAACAUCUGGUGGCCCAACUGGCCACUAUGGAAUGGGAUUCUGAAAUGGGCAAUGGUGACCACCAUCUAAUCACUUCCCUUUAUUUUUUUAUGCAUGUUUUUACUUUGCUUUUCCAGUUCAGUGAAAUAAUUUAAUAGGUAGCUCUAAAAUAACUUUUUAUUUGUCUUCCCAAUGACAAGGUCACCAGGAUGUUUUAUUUUCAGAUUACCUUACCAGGAGUAAGUUUCCUGUCGUGCCCAUUUCAGGUUUUUCUUUAAGAUUUCUACUUUUUCCUGGUAGAUGUUUGUUCUACUGUGUUCUAGGGCCUGCUUUUGGAGUGAUACAAAGUAAUUCAGCUAGUGUUUAGGAAUAGGCAGAAUAGUUCUACCUGAAAGACAGGUAAGGUUUCCUGACAGAAAGAAAUCUCCAUGAUUAGAGAACAAAAGCAUCUAGUGAAUGCUUGGAUAACUAUGUUGUUACUUAGCAAGACUGCUAGCAUUUUAAAUGUGCCUAUAUGCAUUAAAUUUUUGUAGUAUCAUUUGAUGUUUUACUUUAAACAGAAGAGAAUAAACCAGUUGGCAGAUUCCUUGGAUUAGUAAAAUAGGCAAUGCCCACUUUAAAUAGCAGGUCAAUAUCUGCAAUCUAAAUGGGUACACCAUAUUUUUCAUUUGAGAAGCACCAAAUUCAGCUUGUGGCACCUGUGAUAUGUUCCAUUUGCCUUUCUCACCAUGGCCCUUAACGAAUCUCUGUAUAUUAACUGAACAUUUACUAUAGUAGCUGUUUUAAGUUCAUAGUUGUAUUACCUUAUUGAGUACUUACCAAAAACCUGUGAAGUCGGUACGAUUAUUGCCCAAUUUUAUAAAGGAGGAGAUUGAGAAGGAGAGAGCCUAAGUAACUUGUCAUACAGCUAGUAAGCGGUAGAACCGAAAGUUGGCAGAACCAGGCAACCUGACUCCAGAGCUGGGCACAUAAACAUUGCAAUGCAUUAUCUAAAAGCAAGUCACUCUCUAGAAUAAUUUUUUAAUAAGACUAUGAGAGACUGGCGGUUGUUAGAAAUCAUCUAAUUAGCUCCUGACAAGUCACAAGAUAGUUCACAUAAUCCCAGAACUCAUUUCACUUGACAAUACAUAGCACUCACUGUCUGCUUCUGAUAAAACUUAGGAAUAGCAUGAUGUCUGAGUAUUAUCUUCUUCCCCUGUAUUUCUUAGUUUUUGUAAAGUGAUUUUGAAUUGUGUUUUUCUGAGGCCCUAUAAUGGCAGGGAAAGGGGUUUGGAAGCACAUAUCUGGGCUCCCCCAGCUUGAACAUGAAUGGUGUUUAUAUGCUCCACAUCUUG
rnacentral:lncRNA from 1 species